GACGAACGCUGGCGGCGUGCCUAAUACAUGCAAGUCGAGCGGAAGUUGGAGAGCUUGCUCUUCAACUUUAGCGGCGGACGGGUGAGUAACACGUGGGCAACCUGCCCUGCAGAUCGGGAUAACUCCGGGAAACCGGUGCUAAUACCGAAUAGUUUUCGCCACCUCCUGGUGGCGUACGGAAAGACGGUUUCGGCUGUCACUGCAGGAUGGGCCCGCGGCGCAUUAGCUAGUUGGUGGGGUAACGGCCCACCAAGGCGACGAUGCGUAGCCGACAGGAGAGGGGGAGCGGGCAGACUGGGGCUGAGACACGGCCCAGACUCCGAGGGGAGGCAGCAGUAGGGAAUCUUCCGCAAUGGACGAAAGUCUGACGGAGCAACGCCGCGUGAGUGACGAAGGUUUUCGGAUCGUAAAACUCUGUUGUGAGGGAAGAACAAGUACCAACUAACUACUGGUACCUUGACGGUACCUCACCAGAAAGCCACGGCUAACUACGUGCCAGCCGCCGCCGUAAGAC
rnacentral:rRNA from 1 species